rnacentral:misc_RNA from 1 species
UUUCAUUUCCAUGAGCUGGUGAAUAUUUCUUUCUUGCUCUUGUGAUACAAUGUGUCUACAGAAUUGUGAGGUUUAGAAUUGGUACUUAAUAAAAUAGAUCUUAUCACCUGUACUGAAUUACGUAGACUCUGGUUUAUGUAAUUUUUUUGGUCUUCUAGUAUUUUUUCAUGUCCCAUGUUUUUGCAAAUUCUUUUGGCUUCACUGAACCUCGUUACGGUGUUUCCUUUUUCAUGGAAGUCUAGUGAA